CACGUAGGGUGCGAGCGUUGUCCGGAAUUAUUGGGCGUAAAGAGCUCGUAGGCGGUGUGUCGCGUCGGCCGUGAAAACCUGCAGCUUAACUGUGGGCGUGCGGUCGAUACGGGCAUCACUGGAGUUCGGCAGGGGAGACUGGAAUUCCUGGUGUAGCGGUGAAAUGCGCAGAUAUCAGGAGGAACACCGGUGGCGAAGGCGGUUCUCUGGGCCGAUACUGACGCUGAGGAGCGAAAGCGUGGGGAGCGAACAGG
rnacentral:rRNA from 1 species